UUGAACGCUGGCGGCAUGCCUUACACCUGCAAGUCGAACGGCAGCAUGAUCUAGCUUGCUAGAUUGAUGGCGAGUGGCGAACGGGUGAGUAAUACAUCGGAACGUGCCCUGUAGUGGGGGAUAACUAGUCGAAAGAUUAGCUAAUACCGCAUACGACCUGAGGGUGAAAGUGGGGGACCGCAAGGCCUCAUGCUAUAGGAGCGGCCGAUGUCUGAUUAGCUAGUUGGUGAGGUAAAGGCUCACCAAGGCGACGAUCAGUAGCUGGUCUGAGAGGACGAUCAGCCACACUGGGACUGAGACACGGCCCAGACUCCUACGGGAGGCAGCAGUGGGGAAUUUUGGACAAUGGGCGAAAGCCUGAUCCAGCAAUGCCGCGUGUGUGAAGAAGGCCUUCGGGUUGUAAAGCACUUUUGUCCGGAAAGAAAUGGCUCUGGUUAAUACCUGGGGUCGAUGACGGUACCGGAAGAAUAAGGACCGGCUAACUACGUG
rnacentral:rRNA from 1 species